ensembl:lncRNA
UCUCUCUCUCUCUCUCUCUCUCUAUUUGUUCCUCUCUCUCUCUCUCUCUCUCUCUCUCUCUCUCUCUCUCUCUCUCUCUCUCUCUCUGUUUUCAGUCUUUCAGUGUUCAUCGCUUUAUUGUCCUGACAAACAGUUGUACAUUUGAAUUGUCAAAGCGAGUAGAAGGGAAGGGAAGUGUAAACACAAGAGAAAUGAAAUAAACGACAAAAUCAAACAAAACAAAUAAAAUACUAAUAGAUGAAAUAAAAAUAAUAAAAAACAAACAACAGUGCAAACAAUGUACAUGAACGUACAAAUUAAGGACAGAAUAGAUGUACUAUAUACAGAAUCACUUCAGAAAAAAAGCAGGAUAAAAUGUGUAAAAUUACAGGAUCAGAUUUAAAAUGUGUAAAAAUGUACUAAUAAAGGAGAGAAAAAUAUAAAAGACUGAUAAUAAAGAAGAACGAUCACAACAAUUACAGGAGACACCAGGCAGAGGCAGAUCGCUCUGUUCCUAAUAUUGUGGCAGGCGAGUACGAGGGGGACUUUUACACUGAUUCGAAUAUUUUCAGCCAAAUUCUAACAUAUAUCCAGGGAGGAGAACUAUGAAAGAAAACAAUAAAUUGCAUGGAGAAUACAUGGAGAAAACGGGGCAGACGGAUCAGUGUGGAGGGUCACCGAGGAACGUGUCUGUCUGUCUGUCUGUCUGUCUGUCUGUCUGUCCGUCUGUUUCUCUCAGUUUGUCUUCAGCUCGUAAUCUUUCCUCUUUUCUGCUGUCAGACACUGAUCUGAAGGACAGGCAAAUUCCCAGACAGCUUUGUGUGUGUGUGUGUGUGUGUGUGUGUGUGUGUGUGUGUGUGUGUGUGUGUGUGUGUGUUUGCCAUGGCUAAUAUUCAGCUCUGAUGCAACAUAACGAUCACAGACAGAAACUUCAGCAUCAGCCUUCAGAUAUAUCAGUCUCGCUGCAUGACUCUGUCUCUCUUUAUAAAUAUAUCAGGCUUCUUACGUCUUCAGCUUUUAGAGAGAAUUCGACUUUAAAAAGCGUUAUUUAUGACAUUUUAUAUAGUAGAAAGAAAAAACCCAAAUCACAAAUCUUUCAUGAGGUAAUCCUUGACUCUCCGCUGUCUCGGACCCUUUUUCUUUUUCGUUUCUUGCCUCAGAAAGCGUUUGAUAAAAGUGUAUGUAAACUAUUUAUUAAUCAUCAAACCAAACAAGAAUUCCUGUUGGUUUUCCUCGAACUCGUGCUCGUGUUGAUGAACUCAAAUCAUCCGUUUAUUUCUCUCGUCACUAAUAUGAAACGGCUGAGUUGGUGUGUAAUUGAAUAAGUACGUGAUUGAACCUCCACAGUGUAAUCUGUGUAUAUACAGAUAUAUUCUUGGGUCUUACCCAUUGUUGUGAAUGACUAAGGGAAUUUGGCCUGUGUGUUACCUCAUAUUUAUACCCCUGUGAAACAGGAAGUCAUGCUUGAACAAUUUCCUGUUCCUACUCACCCAGGUGUACUAAAAAAAGUUAAAUAUCAAUAGGAAUAUACUUCAAAUAUAUUUUCACAUAUGAAUUCAUAGGAGUGCCAAUAAUUGUUGCACACCUAUAUUUAACAAAGAUAUUUUUGUUUUUAAACCUGUGUUGUGUUUGCAAUUGUUUGAUAUCCAUGAGAGCAGAGUAUUUUUGUGAUUUUUUUUUAAAAAACAAAAGAUUAAAAAACAAUUUGUCACAGCCUUCUUUUCUCAUAUUUACCAAGGGGCCAAUAUUAUUGGAGAGUGCCGUAUAUGUGUUUAUAAGGCACAUGUGAGAGAUAUUUAGACAUACAUUACUGUUCUAGAACUCACUAAUAUACAGUAUUAUUGAGUAAGCAGAGGGUGUAAAGUGUGUAAGUUGGUGUAAGUGUGUAAGUGGUGUAAAUGGUGUAAAGUUGUGUAAAUGGUGUAAAGUGUGUAGUGUGUAAAGGGUGUAAAGUGUGUAGUGUGUAAAGGGUGUGUAGUGUGUAGUGUGUAAAGUGUGUAAGUGUG